AAUGUACAGAACUGACUCUCUUUGUUCGAAAAGCGUGGCAUUGCUGGUUGUAAAGGCUGUUCAUGUGACCAGUCGGCGAUCGGUUUGUCUGCUGUGGCGUUAAUGGAGGAGUGUUCGAUUCGCGGUAUGGUUGGCUUCGGCUGAACAGACGCUUAUUGGUCAUUCUUCUUGCUGUGGCGGUAUAACUGAUGAACCGUAGUCGUGUGUGACUUACCUUUUGAAUCGGCGUUGCUGUGCGAAGUAGAGUGACAGUUUCGGCUGUCGAGGGUCGACCCAUUUGGGAAAUUGUGCGGUGCGGCUUCGGUCGCGCGGCAUCUCAAUUGGACCUGAUAUCAGGCAAGAUUACCCGCUGAACUUAAGCAUAUCAAUAAGCGGAGGA
rnacentral:rRNA from 1 species